rnacentral:rRNA from 1 species
CGAUAGCGUAUAUUAAAGUUGUUGCAGUUAAAAAGCUCGUAGUUGGAUUUCUGUCUUUGUUGUGCGGUCCACCGCGAGGUGAGCACUGUGCGAUGGGGACUUCCUCUCGAUGUUGUGCCGUGUUCUUAACUGAGUGCGGUAUUGACUCGGGACCUUUACUUUGAAAAAAUUAGAGUGUUCAAAGCAGGCCUACGCUUGAAUACAUUAGCAUGGAAUAAUUGAAUAGGACUUCGGUUCUAUUUUGUUGGUUUCUAGGACCGAAGUAAUGAUUAAUAGGGACAGUUGGGGGCAUUAGUAUUUAAUUGUCAGAGGUGAAAUUCUUGGAUUUAUGAAAGACUAACUACUGCGAAAGCAUUUGCCAAGGAUGUUUUCAUUAA